rnacentral:rRNA from 1 species
AUUGAACGCUGGCGGCAGGCCUAACACAUGCAAGUCGAGCGGAGCGGCGGACGCGUGAGUAAUGCCUAGGAAUCUGCCUGGUAGUGGGGGAGAACGUCCGGAAAAGGGCGCUAAUACCGCAUACUAGCAGAUGAGCCUAGGUCGGAUUAGCUAGUUGGUGGGGUAAAGCCCUACCAAGGCGACGAUCCGUAACUGGUCUGAGAGGAUGAUCAGUCACACUGGAACUGAGACACGGUCCAGACUCCUACGGGUGGCAGCAUUGGGGAAUAUUUAACAAUGGGCGCAAGCCUGAUCCAGCCAUGCCGCGUGUGUGAAGAAGGUCUUCGGAUUUUAAAGCACUUUAAGUUGGGAGGCGUUACCAACAGAAUAAUCACCGGCUAACUUCGUGCCAGCAGCCGCGGUAAUAC